GAGAGUUUGAUCCUGGCUCAGUACGGGAGGCAAGCAAUGGGGAAUAUUGGACAAUGGGGGCAACCCUGAUCCAGCAAUGCCGCGUGAGUGAUGAAGGCUUAGGGUUGUAAAGCUCUUUUACCAGGGAUGAUAAUGACAGUACCUGGAGAAUAAGCUCCG
rnacentral:rRNA from 1 species